UACGGGGGGUGCAAGCGUUAUCCGGAUUCACUGGGUUUAAAGGGUGCGUAGGCGGGCUAUUAAGUCAGUGGUGAAAGCCUCAAGCUUAACUUGAGAAUUGCCAUUGAUACUGAUGACCUUGAGUACAUUUGAAGUGGGCGGAAUGUGUCAUGUAGCGGUGAAAUGCUUAGAUAUGACACAGAACACCGAUUGCGUAGGCAGCUCACUAAACUGUAACUGACGCUGAGGCACGAAAGCGUGGGGAGCAAACAGG
rnacentral:rRNA from 1 species